rnacentral:rRNA from 1 species
GAUCCUGGCUCAGAAUCAACGCUGGCGGCGUGCCUAACACAUGCAAGUCGCACGAGAAAGGGUAGCAAUACCUGAGUAAAGUGGCGCACGGGUGAGUAACACGUGAAUUAUCUACCUCCGAGUGGGGAAUAACUGAGAGAAAUCUUAGCUAAUACCGCAUAACACUUACGAGUCAAAGCAGUAAUGCGCUUGGAGAGGAGUUCGCGGCAGAUUAGUUAGUUGGCGGGGUAAUGGCCCACCAAGACGAUGAUCUGUAUCCGGCCUGAGAGGGCGCACGGACACACUGGAACUGAAACACGGUCCAGACUCCUACGGGAGGCAGCAGUGGGGAAUUUUGCGCAAUGGGGGGAACCCUGACGCAGCAACGCCGCGUGGAGGAUGAAAUCCCUUGGGAUGUAAACUCCUUUCGAUAGGGAAGAUUAUGACGGUACCUAUAGAAGAAGCCCCGGCUAACUUCGUGCCAGCAGCCGCGGUAAUACGAGGGGGGCAAGCGUUGUUCGGAUUUAUUGGGCGUAAAGGGUGCGUAGGCGGUUUGGCAAGUCUUGUGUGAAAUCUUUGGGCUCAACCCAAAGCCUGCACAAGAAACUGCCGGGCUUGAGUAUGGGAGAGGUGAGUGGAAUUUCCGGUGUAGCGGUGAAACGCGUAGAUAUCGGAAGGAACACCUGUGGCGAAAGCGGCUCACUGGACCAU